rnacentral:rRNA from 1 species
AGAGUUUGAUCCUGGCUCAGGAUGAACGCUGGCGGCGUGCCUAAUACAUGCAAGUCGAGCGAACGGACGAGAAGCUUGCUUCUCUGAUGUUAGCGGCGGACGGGUGAGUAACACGUGGAUAACCUACCUAUAAGACUGGGAUAACUUCGGGAAACCGGAGCUAAUACCGGAUAAUAUUUUGAACCGCAUGGUUCAAAAGUGAAAGACGGUCUUGCUGUCACUUAUAGAUGGAUCCGCGCUGCAUUAGCUAGUUGGUAAGGUAACGGCUUACCAAGGCAACGAUGCAUAGCCGACCUGAGAGGGUGAUCGGCCACACUGGAACUGAGACACGGUCCAGACUCCUACGGGAGGCAGCAGUAGGGAAUCUUCCGCAAUGGGCGAAAGCCUGACGGAGCAACGCCGCGUGAGUGAUGAAGGUCUUCGGAUCGUAAAACUCUGUUAUUAGGGAAGAACAUAUGUGUAAGUAACUGUGCACAUCUUGACGGUACCUAAUCAGAAAGCCACGGCUAACUACGUGCCAGCAGCCGCGGUAAUACGUAGGUGGCAAGCGUUAUCCGGAAUUAUUGGGCGUAAAGCGCGCGUAGGCGGUUUUUUAAGUCUGAUGUGAAAGCCCACGGCUCAACCGUGGAGGGUCAUUGGAAACUGGAAAACUUGAGUGCAGAAGAGGAAAGUGGAAUUCCAUGUGUAGCGGUGAAAUGCGCAGAGAUAUGGAGGAACACCAGUGGCGAAGGCGACUUUCUGGUCUGUAACUGACGCUGAUGUGCGAAAGCGUGGGGAUCAAACAGGAUUAGAUACCCUGGUAGUCCACGCCGUAAACGAUGAGUGCUAAGUGUUAGGGGGUUUCCGCCCCUUAGUGCUGCAGCUAACGCAUUAAGCACUCCGCCUGGGGAGUACGACCGCAAGGUUGAAACUCAAAGGAAUUGACGGGGACCCGCACAAGCGGUGGUGCAUGGUUGUCGUCAGCUCGUGUCGUGAGAUGUUGGGUUAAGUCCCGCAACGAGCGCAACCCUUAAGCUUAGUUGCCAUCAUUAAGUUGGGCACUCUAAGUUGACUGCCGGUGACAAACCGGAGGAAGGUGGGGAUGACGUCAAAUCAUCAUGCCCCUUAUGAUUUGGGCUACACACGUGCUACAAUGGACAAUACAAAGGGCAGCGAAACCGCGAGGUCAAGCAAAUCCCAUAAAGUUGUUCUCAGUUCGGAUUGUAGUCUGCAACUCGACUACAUGAAGCUGGAAUCGCUAGUAAUCGUAGAUCAGCAUGCUACGGUGAAUACGUUCCCGGGUCUUGUACACACCGCCCGUCACACCACGAGAGUUUGUAACACCCGAAGCCGGUGGAGUAACCUUUUAGGAGCUAGCCGUCGAAGGUGGGACAAAUGAUUGGGGUGAAGUCGUAACAAGGUAGCCGUAUCGGAAGGUGCGGCUGGAUCACCU